rnacentral:rRNA from 1 species
UACGUAGGGUGCGAGCGUUGUCCGGAAUUAUUGGGCGUAAAGGGCUCGUAGGCGGUUUGUCGCGUCGGGAGUGAAAACUCAGGGCUCAACCCUGAGCGUGCUUCCGAUACGGGCAGACUAGAGGUAUGCAGGGGAGAACGGAAUUCCUGGUGUAGCGGUGGAAUGCGCAGAUAUCAGGAGGAACACCGGUGGCGAAGGCGGGUCUCUGGGCCGUAACUGACGCUGAGGAGCGAAAGCGUGGGGAGCGAACAGG